CCCUUAGAUGUUCUGGGCCGCACGCGCGCUACACUGAUGCAUUCAACGAGUCUAAAACCUGCUCUGAUAGGGGUGGGUAAUCUUUUGAAUGUGCAUCGUGAUUGGGAUAGAUGAUUGCAAUUUUUCAUCUUCAACGAGGAAUGCCUAGUAAACGCAAGUCAUCAGCUUGCAUUGAUUACGUCCCUGCCCUUUGUACACACCGCCCGUCGCUCCUACCGAUUGAAUGAUCCGAUGAAUAUCAUGGAUUGAGUAUGUAAGCAGGUUCGCCUGUCUUCAUCUUCGAGAAGUGAAGUAAAUCUUAUCAUUUAGAGGAAGGAGAAGUCGUAACA
rnacentral:rRNA from 1 species